rnacentral:rRNA from 1 species
GACGAACGCUGGCGGCGUGCUUAACACAUGCAAGUCGAACGGAAAGGCCCUGCUUUUGUGGGGUGCUCGAGUGGCGAACGGGUGAGUAACACGUGAGUAACCUGCCCUUGACUUUGGGAUAACUUCAGGAAACUGGGGCUAAUACCGGAUAGGAGCUCCUGCUGCAUGGUGGGGGUUGGAAAGUUUCGGCGGUUGGGGAUGGACUCGCGGCUUAUCAGCUUGUUGGUGGGGUAGUGGCUUACCAAGGCUUUGACGGGUAGCCGGCCUGAGAGGGUGACCGGCCACAUUGGGACUGAGAUACGGCCCAGACUCCUACGGGAGGCAGCAGUGGGGAAUAUUGCACAAUGGGCGGAAGCCUGAUGCAGCAACGCCUCGUGCGGGAUGACGGCCUUCGGGUUGUAAACCGCUUUCGCCUGUGACGAAGCGUGAGUGACGGUAAUGGGUAAAGAAGCACCGGCUAACUACGUG